UACGUAGGGGGCAAGCGUUGUCCGGAUUUAUUGGGCGUAAAGAGCUCGUAGGUGGUUCGGUAAGUCGGAUGUGAAAUCUCCAGGCUCAACCUGGAGGGGUCAUUCGAUACUGCCGUGACUAGAGGUCGGUAGGGGAGUGUGGAAUUCCUGGUGGAGCGGUGAAAUGCGUAGAGAUCGGGCGGAACACCAGCGGCGAAGGCGGCAUCCUGGCCCUUACCUGACGCUGAGGCGCGAGAGCGUGGGAGCAAACCGG
rnacentral:rRNA from 1 species